rnacentral:rRNA from 1 species
ACGCUCGACACCUACGGGGAGGCAGCAGUCGGGAAUAUUGCGCAAUGGAGGAAACUCUGACGCAGUGACGCCGCGUAUAGGAAGAAGGUUUUCGGAUUGUAAACUAUUGUCGUUAGGGAAGAGAAAGGACAGUACCUAAGGAGGAAGCUCCGGCUAACUACGUGCCAGCAGCCGGGGUAAUCUGAGGCGGGCUGGCAAGGC